rnacentral:lncRNA from 1 species
UACAAGUUUUUCGUAUUUCUUCAAGUUCAACUUCACUGAACACUUUGUUUCUUAUGAUAAAUCGCUUCUGAUCUGCCAGAUGCAGUUUUGUUGUUUUUGAGUCUGGAUAUUCCAGUUUCCACAAUUGGUACAUCUUUUUUUGGUAGCCACGUUUUUCAGGUUUUGAUGCAUAGUAGUAUUUCACGACUGAGCGAUUCUCUGACAUCGAGUAUUUCUGCCACUUCUGUGUUUAUGCAUUUUGUUCCUAUAGUCCACUUGUUGACGGCUGCCCAGGUUCCUCAACAACCACCAUGGUCCUUUUUAUCCUGGGCGAAACCAAGCCAGUAUAGACUUCUUUUUAGUUUGUUUCUCCAUUGGGUCAAAUGGGUUGGGUGCAAUUAGUCCUGCUCCUCAACUU